rnacentral:lncRNA from 1 species
CCUGCUUGUGAGAUGAUGGACCCAUUGGGAGGAGGAACAGACAAUCAAUGAGAGGAAGAGAUGCCUACAGAGAAGACCUGGGUGCCAGUAACCAGGGAGCCCUUCAGCCCCUUUCUCCUCACAUGCGUAGUAAGCUGGUAGCUAUAGCUGCUGCAGACACUCUGACUCCUAGUUGGAGGCCACAAGACGAGCAGGAAGCUGUUGAAACAAAUCCCAUAUGCCAAACAGUUUCACAUGCACACUGGGCAGGUAUUUUGAUUCCUGAGCAGGUUAGUUGUCCUAGGCAUCAGGCUGGACCAAGGACUCUUGUGGAGUGAGGGGAGCUCUAGCCUACCGCCAGCAGCCCUAAGAGGCCAGCUCAUAUCCUUUCAGGGAGUGGAAAAGGAAACACUGGGCCCUUUUACAGGGUUUCUUGUGUGUGACGAGCAGCCUCUGAGGAUGGCCAAGCUGCCACGGAUGGAAGAAACCGUUUAUUUUUCCUGUGAGCCGCUCUGGAGCCUUUCAAAGGUGUGAAGUUCCAGGGCCUGCAAAUGCUGACUCUACUUGCUGCACAGAGCCAGCCCUGCCUGGGCCUCAGCCCCCCAAAGCUCCAGCCUCUUCAUGUGCUAGGGGAACUCCCCCAGGCCCAUCUGGCCUCUCCUGUGCUGAAAGGCCACAGAGUGACAGGCCAGAAACCUGACUCAGUGUUUAUUCACCAAACACUGAGAGGGCCCUCCUGAAUCUCUUCCCCACCCAAAGCCUCCCUACUUCGGGGGCAGGAGAGGGGACGGCACUGCCAUCUCCCAUGCUCAGCAUACCUGGUAUACUUGCCCCAGGAGAUUAGCCACAAGGAAAAGCAUGCAGGCUGCCCCCGACACAAGAGAAAAUCUGGUAAAACACAAGAAAGAACCACCACUGAGCAGCAUCAGCCAAGAGAAGAAUCCCACAUCCUGUGGAUUCCGAACCGAGCAGGCGUUUGUCCCUUGUUUCACUACGAUCUACCCACACCACUGGAAAAUGUGUACAACAGCCACAGCCAACAGUCUAGGAAGUUUGGGGUCGUGGUUUUUCUGUUUAGCAUCGGAAAUCAAAACUGAGAGCCAUGAAAACAGCAAUUUUUGGUUGAGCGGCCUCUGAAAUAAAUAGGAACACCAGCCUGGCUGAUCUGAAACA